rnacentral:rRNA from 1 species
UACGUAGGGUGCAGGCGUUGUCCGGAAUUAUUGGGCGUAAAGAGCUCGUAGGCGGUUUGUUGCGUCGGCUGUGAAAUCCCGAGGCUCAACCUCGGGUCUGCAGUCGAUACGAGCAAACUAGAGUGUUGCAGGGGAGACUGGAAUUCCUGGUGUAGCGGUGAAAUGCGUAGAUAUCUGGAGGAACACCGGUGGCGAAGGCGGCAUCCUGGACCGACACUGACGCUGAGGAGCGAAAGCCAGGGGAGCAAACGGG